CGCGGCCUAUCAGCUUGUUGGUGAGGUAACGGCUCACCAAGGCAUCGACGGGUAGCUGGUCUGAGAGGACGAUCAGCCACACUGGGACUGAGACACGGCCCAGACUCCUACGGGAGGCAGCAGUAGGGAAUCUUGCGCAAUGGGCGAAAGCCUGACGCAGCAACGCCGCGUGGGGGAUGAAUGCCUUCGGGUUGUAAACCCCUUUCAGCAGGGACGAAAAUGACGGUACCUGCAGAAGGAGCUCCGGCCAACUACGUGCCAGCAGCCGCGGUAAUACGUAGGGAGCGAGCGUUGUCCGGAAUUAUUGGGCGUAAAGAGCUCGUAGGCGGUUCAGUAAGUCGGGUGUGAAAACUCAAGGCUCAACCUUGAGACGCCACUCGAUACUGCUGUGACUUGAGUCCGGUAGAGGAGUGUGGAAUUCCUGGUGUAGCGGUGAAAUGCGCAGAUAUCAGGAGGAACACCAGCGGCGAAGGCGGCACUCUGGGCCGGUACUGACGCUGAGGAGCGAAAGCAUGGGGAGCAAACAGGAUUAGAUACCCUGGUAGUCCAUGCCGUAAACGUUGGGCACUAGGUAUGGGAUCAUAUCAACGGAUUCCGUGCCGUAGCUAACGCAUUAAGUGCCCCGCCUGGGGAGUACGG
rnacentral:rRNA from 1 species